rnacentral:tRNA from 4 species
GGAGGGAUGUACUGAAUGGUAAAGUACCGGUCUCGAAAACCGGCGUCUGAAAAGACUUGCGAGUUCGACUCUCGCUCCCUCCG